AUGAAAGCAAAAGUAGAUAAUGAUGACAACGAUGACAUUGAGGAUCCUACAAAAAAGGAAGACCAGAAUUUGGGAAAGAAGGGAACAAAGGCUGGAGCUAAAGGUAGAAAACCUUCUAAAAGAAAAAAGACCGAGGAAAGUGAUGAUGACAAUGAUGGUGAUGCUGGUACUGAUAAUGACGAUGACAGUGAUCAAGUUGAAAAGAAGAAACCAGCUCCAGCUAAGAAGCAAUCAAAGAAAAGUGUUCACAGCAUUCAAAACAGUAGGAGUACUAGGGGUAAAGCUAAGUAG